rnacentral:rRNA from 1 species
UUAAACUGAAGAGUUUGAUCCUGGCUCAGAUUGAACGCUGGCGGUAUGCUUAACACAUGCAAGUCGAACGGUAACAGCAGAGCUUGCUCUGGCUGACGAGUGGCGGACGGGUGAGUAACGCGUAGGAAUCUGCCUAGUAGUGGGGGACAACUCGGGGAAACUCGAGCUAAUACCGCAUACGCCCUACGGGGGAAAGCGGGGGAUCUUCGGACCUCGCGCUAUUAGAUGAGCCUGCGUUGGAUUAGCUUGUUGGUGAGGUAACGGCUCACCAAGGCGACGAUCCAUAGCUGGUCUGAGAGGACGAUCAGC